GACGAACGCUGGCGGCGUGCUUAACACAUGCAAGUCGAACGGAAAGGCCCUGCUUGCAGGGUGCUCGAGUGGCGAACGGGUGAGUAACACGUGGGUGAUCUGCCCCUUACUUUGGGAUAAGCCUGGGAAACUGGGUCUAAUACUGGAUAGGACCAUGCUGCAGGUGGUGUGGUGGAAAGAUUAGUUUCGGUAAGGGAUGAGCUCGCGGCCUAUCAGCUUGUUGGUGGGGUAAUGGCCUACCAAGGCGUCGACGGGUAGCCGGCCUGAGAGGGUGGACGGCCACAUUGGGACUGAGAUACGGCCCAGACUCCUGCGAGAGGCAGCAGUGGGGAAUAUUGCACAAUGGGCGCAAGCCUGAUGCAGCGACGCCGCGUGGGGGAUGACGGCCUUCGGGUUGUAAACACCUUUCAGCCAUGACGAAGCCCUUGUGGUGACGGUAGUGGUAGAAGAAGCACCGGCUAACUACGUG
rnacentral:rRNA from 1 species